rnacentral:rRNA from 1 species
UACGGGGGGAGCAAGCGUUGUUCGGAUUUACUGGGCGUAAAGGGCGCGUAGGCGGCCAGCACAAGUCAGUUGUGAAAUCUCCGGGCUUAACUCGGAAAGGUCAACUGAUACUGUGCGACUAGAGUGCAGAAGGGGCAACUGGAAUUCUCGGUGUAGCGGUGAAAUGCGCAGAUAUCAGGAGGAACACCGGUGGCGAAGGCGGAUCUCUGGGCCUUACCUGACGCUGAGGCGCGAAAGCUAGGGGAGCGAACAGG